CCUACGGGAGGCAGCAGUGAGGAAUAUUGGUCAAUGGACGAGAGUCUGAACCAGCCAAGUAGCGUGAAGGAUGACUGCCCUAUGGGUUGUAAACUUCUUUUAUAUGGGAAUAAAAUGUUCCACGUGUGGGAUUUUGUAUGUACCAUAUGAAUAAGGAUCGGCUAACUCCGUGCCAGCAGCCGCGGUAAUACGGAGGAUCCGAGCGUUAUCCGGAUUUAUUGGGUUUAAAGGGAGCGUAGGUGGAUUGUUAAGUCAGUUGUGAAAGUUUGCGGCUCAACCGUAAAAUUGCAGUUGAAACUGGCAGUCUUGAGUACAGUAGAGGUGGGCGGAAUUCGUGGUGUAGCGGUGAAAUGCUUAGAUAUCACGAAGAACUCCGAUUGCGAAGGCAGUUCACUGGACUGCAACUGACACUGAGGCUCGAAAGUGUGGGUAUCAAACAGGAUUAGAUACCCCGUAGG
rnacentral:rRNA from 1 species